CCUAAGGAAAUACCAGGUACAGCCUUUCUGUGCUCAUCCAGGGCAGGAAACCAAGGACCUAAGGAAAUACCAGGUGUAGCCUUUCUGUGCUCAUCCAGGGCAGGACAAACAGGCCAGGUGGCGUCAGGAGCCCAGGCCUCCAGCUGGAGGGAACUUCAACCCUGCAGUGGGAGCAGGGGCCCAUCUCACAUCUUAGGCACAGAUGGUAAUGUAGGCACCACAGGUAAGCUGGGCUUGGCACCCCCUUCCCCCCAGUUUCAGAAAGAAUCCAAACAAGGAGAUUUCUGCAGAAUAAAACCUCCUUUCCUUCCAGAAGCACUGCUGACUAUUUGGUGGUUGCAGUUUGUGGCAGUGAAUCUUUUGUCUUUUCUGAGGUUGUGAGUGCUGAUUUUUCCUCUUGGCCCUGCCGUACAGACCAUAAAGGAGAACAGCAAGAGGUCCCCAGCAAACCCCACAGAUGGCCCUGGACAUAAACCACAUUCUGAGAAACAUGUCAUGGUCUGGGAGGGCUAAGGCAUCAAGUAAGGCCAUGGGGCUGGCAGAUCCCUGGGCAGGUGGGGCAAUCCAUAGCCAUGGGGGCUUCCCAUGGGAAUUGGGAGGUCCCAAGGCAGAGGGAGGGCUUCUUCAGCAGGAGUCACAGAGCCACCAAGGGCUCUCCUGGCCCAGGGAGCAGUCAACACCAUGGACUAAACACCUGCUGGGCUCCAGGCUCUGGACCAGGCUAGGGCAUGUAAGGCUGGGAGGCAGCUCAGAGUGGGGGCAGAGAGAGAAUUGUGCUCAGAGGGCACCCGUUUCUAGAUGUGAUGUGGUCCUGAGGUUCUGGCUGGGAAGUGCUUUCAGGGUUUCAUAUGUGUUAUGGAGCUGCUUCCACUCCCUGCAGGAAUCCCAGUGAAUAUAUUGCCGCCACCUUGGAGGUCAGUCCCCUCAUCGUGCGACAGCACCAGCAGAUCUGCCUGUGCACGGACUUCCUCUUCUACCUUACUCCUGGGGGCGAGGCUUCUGCAGGGCCUGACUUGGAGCACAACUUUAGAUACCAUCAUCCUGGAGCAGCACUGCACCCUCACUAGCCAGGCUGUUGAUGACUUCCUCAAGACCAAGGCCACAUUCAAGGCUUCAUACUUCAUUGAUGCAUUUGUGCUGAGCAAGGCGUGCUUCUCUAGGAACUCAAUUCAGGAGGUAGAAUGGAGCCUGAGAUCAAGUAUCUUAUCAAGGAGCUUGAACUUGAUCUGGAGGGCUCUAGGGAGCCAUGGAAGGUUCUCGAUAAAAAGGAGGGACAGUCAGACACAUUGUAGAGAUGACUGUAGAAGGCUGCCUUGAAGGAGUGAACAAGAGCCAGGAGACCAGGAGGGAGCUGAUGGGGCAAGUCUGGAGAUGGCAAGGGAGGGAUCCUGCUUGGGUGAAAGGUCUUCAGGGACUGUCUCAGGUUACACUUAGCUGCCCUCAGAGCUUGUGUGUUCAGAGGUCUUGUCUUCAGGAUGAAAAUGGGAAGAAGUAGUCAGACAAGGACAUAUAAAUGGAGGCUGGCAUCUUCAUGAGCGUCGGCGGUGGUCUCGGUGUGGGACUACUGUGGGAACAGCGGUCUCUCCAUCCAGGGACAUGGUGGAUGGACCCUAUAUCACUCCAUCCUGCUCUUUCUUUCCCUCCUCCCAUUCACCCCAGGGCCUCCAUGCAUGGGCGCUGUCCAUCCUCUGGUGCUGAAGCAGCCAAGAGACCCAAACCUGCCUGGCUGCCUCUUAGGAUAUGACAGCACAGCCAGUGACCUUUAGGCCCUGUACAACCUCACAAGACGCCCAGACACCGGGAGUGCUGCCAGCAUGUGGUGCAAGAGCCCCGAGGUCCCACAAUCCGCAAGACGUUGAGUGUGCAGCCAGGCCAUUCUGGAGGAAUCACACCCUUGGAAGGAGCCCUGAGGAGUGACUGGUAGGUAUCAGUGGGUAAAUACCCCAGCUCCCUUGAUCUGGGUGGGGUGACUCUGAGGCACCUGUUCUAUGCUUUCUCUCAGAAGUACCCAGCAGGGCUAAGUCCUGGCUGCCACAGCAGAAACUUUCUUGAUAAAGGUCCCUGUAACAGCAGCAUUCCUUUUCUGUCACAGCUCCCCACUCUGCUGAUGUCUCCUGGGAUCAGCACCCCGAGGAAGAACUGACCAUAGAAUUACUGUCCUACACUCAUCUCCACAGAAAAUUUUUGUGUUUUAAUCUUUGGGUCAGCAUCUACUUCCAGGAAACUCAAACUAAGACACAUUUUUCUGUUGGCAUCUCCGAUCCCCAUAGACCUGUCAUUGUGCUGUUUUUACCAAAAAGGAACGUGAGGAUCAGAGAGGGAAAGUCACUUACCCAAAGUCACACAGCUGAACAGUGGUAGAGUUCAACUUUGACCAUGGGCUGUCUGGCCCCAAGGCGGAUCCUUGUUCCACCUUGUUUUGUGGGUCUCCUCCCUUGAUUUUGGAUGAGAAACACCCUUUCCCUUCCACUGGGAUUGUUUCUGUGGACCCUACACUGAGAUUUCCCCUGGUUGGGCAAUGAGCAGGUGGGGAUGGUGGGAGCAAAUCUUUAGAACCAGCAAUGCCAAACUAGUCCCAUUCGGGGAAGUUCAUGCUAAGUGUCAUGGGUCGUCUAGAAUUUUCUGAAGCUUUCCUCCCCUGUCCCCAAACAAGUCAUCUGAUCUUCUGGAAUCUCUACUAAGAUGCUGGCAGCCUGGCCAGCUUGUCUAGUGCUGGACAUGCCUUCAGGCGCUGGUUAUGCUUCCUGACCUGUGUUGUGGUCAGUGUAAGCAGCUCCUGCUUCUAGCUUCACUGUUGGGCCAGAUUUCAUCCCCACCGUGGCUCUGCAGUGCACCUUCUUCCUCCAUGGACCCUGCACAGAAUUGCCCCAUGUUUCUGGUCGUGCACCACUGAGGAAGGAAGCAUAAAGAACUCACAGGUCAGGCCGUUUCAUUGCCCACCUGGUGCUAGGUCUUACUUCUGGAAUGGCUUCAAGGGCAGGUUCUUCUUUAUACCCCCACUCCACAUCUCUCAGGUUUCUGCUCACAAGUCACCUCCUGUAAGGGUCUCUACCUGUCACUGUGUUUGGAACAGCUCCCUCAGUUUCUUUCUAGCUCAUCUCACUCAGCUAAUGUCUUGUGUUACCACCACCAUCUGACCUGGUCUUAUGACCUGUUAGCUUCCUUCAUCAGACAUGAGCACCAGGAUGGCAGGGGCCUCAUCUGUCCUGUUCCUCCUGUGACCUGGGUCCUAGCACUGUGUCUGGUACAGUAUAGAUGCUCAAGGGCAGUUGACUUUGAAGAACUGUCUACCUGGGAGUUGUUACUGUUAGUCUAAGCUACAUCAUUUUGUAAACCCCCAGUCACUUUGCAGACCCUGGUCAGAGUGAAACAUUCCACGGGAACUCAGGCCAUGAGAAAAAGCCUUCCUAACCGCCUGACUGCAGAAACAUCCUUAUCACAUUUUGCCGGGCAGAUGCGAUUGCAGGAACAUCCUUGCCAUAUCCUGCUGUGCAGCAAGCUGUACCACCCAGACCGCUCCCUCCAGUCCCGUAAUUACCCCAGCCUGUGAGCAGCAGUGGGUGCUGGCACUAAGCCGGUUUCCUUCUCUGCAGGGUUUGCUAGCAAUAAAGGUGUUGCUGUUGAAGCCGC